AAAUUUUAACAGGGCCACUUCAACAGAAUUUGAUACGAAGACUGACCAACUAUUGAUGAUGAGGUGAGUUUUACUUUUUUGUACCAACAAUUUUUUUUUUUUUUUGGAGACAAAUCAGGGUAGUAACACUAGAGUCAGAGGGUUUACAUUGCACCAAAGUAAAUUUUUGUAUUUCAAUUUGAAAUGAACAAAAGUUAGUGAGUUUUUCUGCAACAUAACAGAAACUAUAGUUUGGGCUUCCUGUACUUUUCAGUCUGUUCUCUCACAUUCAAUCAUCUCAUAGUAGUUCUUCUGCUUGCAGCGGCGAAGCAGAUAUUACUAUUCAAGAUACAAGAGUUUUUCACUUCAAACAUUAUUAUUCACAUUCGAAGCAUACACAGAACUAUCUAUGUGUACACGAGUAGCGCCUUUCUUGUUGUUAUCCAUCACACCAUACAUAAGCAGUAGCACAUUUUGAAGUUUUUCUCUACAGGUGUUUGAUGGGGGUCUAAGGGCACUUUUUCUUGCUGCUGCGGGUGGUCAAGCUGGCAUAGCAGGGGCACUGAUCGUAAUUCCCCGAAGUGCCGGGCGGGACGCAGCUGCAGCGCGCACAGCACGUUUUACAGGCUCUCAUGCAGUAAUUCAGCCUCGAUGAUAGCUGGCACCGCCCGCUGCAUGCUGAAUUGCAGUCUGAAAAUGCCAUCAGGUAGACAUUAAACUCUUCCAUGAUUCCAUCAUUAUGCUUGCAUAGCUUACAGUAGGGAAUAUACCUUUGACUGAUAUUAAAAUUGUAGAAAAUCGAAUAUUCAGGUUUGUGUCAUUAUUAUGCUUAGAAUGAGAAGGAUUAGGUCCUUAAUGAAAGGAUUAGGUCCUUAAUGAGAGUAAACUAAAAAAUAGUCUUAAAUAUUGGUAGAUAAUGCUAGAGAAUUUGGCUCUUUUUUCUCCUGGUUCUAAUGUUUGUCAGUUAUAGUUGCAAUUAUUCCUAUUUUAUAGAAAAUAGAGAGGGUGAUAUAAUUUUUCUCAUUGUAUUGCUGCAAAUGACAAUGCAACAAAUUUCUCAUUGACUCUUAAAUAAAUGGUGAGUUUAUUUGUUAUUGAAGGCAUUUUAAAAUAUUAAGGAUGUUAGGCAUCUAAUCAAUUAUUAAGGAUGCCUCAGCUAUGUUUUGCUGCCUUGCAUGUCUACAUUAGAGCCGUCGAUGAGCCGAACACGAGCAACCUCGUCAAAACACCGAGCUGAAAAAUCUAGCUCGUGUUCGCCUUGUUUAUUAACAAGCCGAACACGAACUGGCUCACGAACAACAAGUUAGAUUCUCAGCUCUACAACUGGGCGAAAAGUUGAAAAAAAAAAAGAAAAUUAGAAUCAUAUUCUAAUAGUUGAAAUUCACAAAUAUUGGUCUCUUUACAUUUGGGUUGGCCUAAAAUCCAAAUAGUAGAAUAUAUAUAUAUAUAUAAUAUAUUAUAUAUAUAUAUAUAUAUAUGUAGAGUUGAGCUAGAAUAUCUCCAAAGCACCAUGAAGGUGGUCUUUUGAGUUUUUAGCCAUUGGUUGGGAGAGAUGUGAGGCUGAGAUGAUAGUAGUAAGGUGGUGUGUAGGUGAAAUAGUGUUUGAUCCAUAGGCUAUUAGUAAUCAAGGAGUAGAUCCAAGGGUUAGAAACUUAGAAGCACAAGGGGUUUGGUGGUCUAAAGUAUUCUAGCUCAAUUCUAUACAUAUAUAUAUAUAUAUUAUAUAUAUAUAUAUAUAUAUAAUUGAGCUCCUAUGUUUUUAAAAGUACCAAGUUAUUGAUGCUUGUAGAUUUUUGGCCAUUCUGAUUAAGAGAUGUGAGGUUAGGAUGAUGUGGGUCUCUCCUAGGGUUGAGUGGGUGGUUGGUUGAAUAGUAUAAUCUAACGCGUGAAAUGAUCAAGACGUAGAUUCUAACGGUAAAAAUUCACAACGCUCCAAGAACUUGGUGUGUUUUACAAGCACCAAUAGCCGCAGACUCCAUAUAUAUAUAUAUAUAAUAUAAUAUAAUAUAUAUAUAUAUAUAUUAUAUAUAUAUAUAUAGAGUAGGGCUACUAUACUUAUGAGUAUUGGGCCCUUUGUACUCAUAACUUGUUUCGAUGAUGGAGCUCCGAAUCGACGAUCCAUCUGUUAAAUAUGAUCAAGAGAUUUGAACUUCUAGAAAAUCAUUCGUAAUUUUCGAAAUCAUAUAAAGUCCAUCAAGCGGGCAUAAAAUGAACGGUCAAAAUCGAACGAUGUCUUAAAAAUGGAUGAUCGGAUCCUUCAAUUUAAGAUCAGAAGUUAUUGAUCUUUAUCUAGUAGUGAUAGAAUUUUCUAUAAAAAUUCAACCUAUUCGGAUUCUUUUGCACCGUUAAACUAGCAAGUAUUCCAUACCGGCUAUUAAAAAUUGUCAAUUUUGUGAGCUUUUGAUUGUAAGGUAAAUGAUGUCGAAAAAUUAUGAAAUUUGAUUUCUAAAUGUUUCAAAUGCUCUAGAUAACGUUUAACGGUGUGGAUCGUCGAUUCGGAAGCUCUAUCAUCGAAAUAACUUAUGAGUACGAGAGCGAUCGUACUCAUGAGAGUAGAGUAGCCGGACUCUCUCUCUCUCUCUCUCUCUCUCUAUAUAUAUAUAUAUAUAUAUAUAUAUAUAUAUAUUUAUUUUAGCUAUAUCGAGCCGAACACGAGUGAACUAACCCCAUCUCGUGUUCGGCUCGUUAAGAUUUUGAGCUGAAAAAUUUAGCUUGUGUUCGGCUUGUUUAUUAAACGAGCGAUCGAUUUUGAGUUCAUUUCGAGUGGAAGACGAGUUAGCUCGCAAACAGCAAGCUGGACUGCCAGCCCUAGUCUGCAUGAGUUCUUGUAUGUGUGCGCAUGUACGAUUAGAACAUUUGUGUGUUUAAUCUUUGAUUAGAACAUUAAUAUUUGAAUCUAAAGUACUAAGUAGUCACAGCCGGAUGGUUAAGAACCUGAUAUUCAAGUUGUUAGUGGAUUAGUUGGAACACAUUAAGUAGCAAAUUGUGGUGUUUAGAAUCUGAAAAAUAAGCCUUAAGAUGCUGAAUUAACUAAUUAGGAUAUAAAAAGAUGAAUUCCAACCCAUUGUUGCUAGGAGUGUCCUGGCCCCUUUGCUUGCCUGAAAUGAAUCAUAUGAAAUAAUCAUGAAUAAACAAAUGUACAUUGACAUAUGAGCGAAGGAAAUACAAUAAAAAGGUCUGCAAUCUGCAAAUAAAAUUAUGAUAUUUUCUUAUACUAGUAAGGGUUCGCUUGCGAUGCACGAGUCUACAUGUAAAGAUAAGUUUAACCUACGUGAAAUAGAAAUAAUUAGAGAACUAGCUAAUAAUAUCCUGAGGUAGAAUAGCUGCUAAUCCAAAUUCCACUAAAACAGUGUUUAGUUAUGGACAAAAAUUCUAGAAUUAUUUUAAGAAGAGUUGAGGAUGAGGGAGAGUGGAUCAAAUCCAACUCGACUUGAAUUAGUUGAACAGUUGAAGUAAUUUUGGCCAGUAAGCUUAUUAUCUGUUUUUUGCAUGAGUAAAGUUACUCUCAUCUUCCAUGAAAGAGUAAUCUCCAAUAUAUAUAGAAGUUGAAAUAGCUAUUGAAUUAUAAUUCUCUCACAUACUAACCAGUUGAUGCUCAACUUCUUCAUGUGCUUCAACAGCAAGAUGGUGGAGAGUAAAAGAGAAAGCUAGGAGAAGAGUAAGUAGAAUGAGUUGAGUAGUAGCCAUGGCAAUAGAGAGGAGAAAGAAGUAUAGAAUGGACUUUUUGUUAGUGGGGAAGUGAAUGGUGUGGUAUUUAAAAGAGAGUGGGAGCGGUGGUAACCAUGAUGAAGCUUCUGCUGUAGGGUUAUGGGAUGCACCAAAAAAGUAGAGAGGAUGAAGCAUUCUAUAUUUGUGCACUAGGGUGGCAAAUUUAGCAAAUAGGAUAAGUGGGGCCCUUUAGAUUGUUUAUGCUUUAGAUGAUGGGAGGCCACUUGUAGUGGUUGCUAUAAUUUUUUGCUUAGCUUGUGAUGAUUGCUUGGGUCUAACUCAUGGGGUGGAGAAUUAUGCUUGCUUGAGAAAGAUGUUCUUGUAAUUUGAUCUUAAAUUAAAUUUAAUAGGGACGAAAAUAUUAGUUCUGCUAUCGAUUACGACGGUACCAAGAUCUACUGUUUAGCCAGCCAUGAGCUUCAGUUCUUUAAAACUAGUUUCCCCUCGAAAAUUGUUCGAAGUUGCUCUUCGCAUCCCCUAAUUUUUUUUUAAUAUUAUAAUAUCGUGUUUCAUGCAUUUAUUUUGUAUUUUGAACUAUUAGGCAUUUUCUGUAUCAAAUUUUAGAUGACAUUUUAUAAAAAUUAAACUAUAGAUUGCAUGAUAUUAAGAAUUUCAAAUGGCUCGCUUAGGGUUCGAGCUUGCUCGAUUUGAAGUUAGGCUCGCUCCAGCUCGGCUCGAAUUAAUUUCAAGCUGAACUUGAGCCUAAAUUUAGGCUCAAAAUAAUUUCAUGCCAAGCUUGAGUUGAGGUAAGCUUGCUAAAGCUCGGCUCGUUUCCAUCCCUAGGGAAGGCCGACCAGAUCAGGGCGUUGACCAAGCCGGUUUCUUCUUCGGGACGCGAGUCGGCUCCUAGGAUGACCCUUGAGUGCGCCACUAGCGAACCAAGUGAAUCGGUUGAUGAGGGAUUGGCUCAACUGGGUUCUUCUGCCACUAUUCACAAUUGACCCAAAACAGACUCGGCUGAAUGAGCCAACCGUUAUAUUUAUCGAGAAAGCAGAAUUAUAAGUGCUGUUAUAGAAAUAAAGUCUACUCCUACUUAACCACGCCGUUAACUAUGCUCUUAAAAAGAGAAGUUAACAAGAAAAUUAUAGACUAUCUCUAAGAAAACUGUAAAUGUCGAAAAGAAAGAAAUUGAAAUUUGCUGUGAUCUCUUGCUCGUGUGAAUGACCCAUUUUAUAGACCUGUUUUUUUCCUAUUUAUAACGAUAUCUUCUCCCGCUUGCCAUUAUUGGGUUAAUCUCAUCGUGGAGGUUUCUUCGGCUAUAUUCUGAUUUCCUUAGGUUAUGCUUCGGCCGACUUCUUGCUGGUCACGAAAUCCUUCCUCCACGUCUUCAACCACUCUUGCCUAAACCACCUUUCCAUUUUAGGCGUUCUCCUCCCGGCUCCGGAUGUACCACGUGUCGCUUUCUGUCUCGCUUCCGUCACUUUACUCAUAUGGCUUGGGCUGCUCUACCAAGUGGCGCCAUUUUUAUGGCGCUAAUGCAAUAUAAAGUAUCAAGCUCCAGUUGCAUUUGCCUUUAUCCAAUUAUAAGUGGAAGAUUCUAAACUUUAUUGCUG
rnacentral:lncRNA from 1 species